CACGUAGGGGGCAAGCGUUGUCCGGAUUUAUUGGGCGUAAAGAGCUCGUAGGUGGUUCGGUAAGUCAGGUGUGAAACCUCCAGGCUCAACCUGGAGACGCCACUUGAUACUGCUGUGACUGGAGUCCGGUAGGGGAGCGUGGAAUUCCUGGUGUAGCGGUGAAAUGCGCAGAUAUCAGGAGGAACACCAGCGGCGAAGGCGGCGCUCUGGGCCGGUACUGACACUGAGGAGCGAAAGCGUAGGUAGCAAACAGG
rnacentral:rRNA from 1 species